rnacentral:rRNA from 1 species
GCUGGCGGCAGGCCUAACACAUGCAAGUCGAACGGCAGCACAGUAAGAGCUUGUUUUAUGGGUGGCGAGUGGCGGACGGGUGAGGAAUACAUCGGAAUCUACUCUUUCGUGGGGGAUAACGUAGGGAAACUUACGCUAAUACCGCAUACGACCUACGGGUGAAAGCGGAGGACCUUCGGGCUUCGCGCGAUUGAAUGAGCCGAUGUCGGAUUAGCUAGUUGGCGGGGUAAAGGCCCACCAAGGCGACGAUCCGUAGCUGGUCUGAGAGGAUGAUCARCCGGUACACUGGAACUGAGACACGGUCCAGACUCCUACGGGAGGCAGCAGUGGGGAAUAUUGGACAAUGGGCGCAAGCCUGAUCCAGCCAUGCCGCGUGGGUGAAGAAGGCCUUCGGGUUGUAAAGCCCUUUUGUUGGGAAAGAAAAGCAGUCGGUUAAUACCCGAUUGUUCUGACGGUACCCAAAGAAUAAGCACCGGCUAACUUCGUGCCAGCUUAGCCGCGGUAAUACGAAGGGUGCAAGCGUUACUCGGAAUUACUGGGCGUAAAGCGUGCGUAGGUGGUGGUUUAAGUCUGUUGUGAAAGCCCUGGGCUCAACCUGGGAAUUGCAGUGGAUACUGGRUCACUAGAGUGUGGUUUAGAGGGUAGYGGAAUUCCCGGUGUAGCAGUGAAAUGCGUWGAGAUCGGGAGGAACAUCCGUGGCGAAGGCGCUACCUGGACCAACACUGACACUGAGGCACGAAAGCGUGGGGAGCAAACAGGAUUAGAUACCCUGGUAGUCCACGCCCUAAACGAUGCGAACUGGAUGUUGGGUGCAAUUUGGCACGCAGUAUCGAAGCUAACGCGUUGGAAGUUCGCCGCCUGGGGAGUACGGUCGCAAGACUGAAACUCAAAGGAAUUGACGGGGGCCCGCACAAGCGGGUUGUGGAGUAUGUGGUUUAAUUCGAUGCAACGCGAAGAACCUUACCUGGUCUUGACAUCCACGGAACUUUCCGUGGUAAGGAGACCGCCGGUGACAAACCGGAGGAAGGUGGGGAUGACGUCAAGUCAUCAUGGCCCUUACGACCAGUUGGCUACACACGUACUACAAUGGUAGGGACAGAGGGCUGCAAACCCGCGAGG